CUGGGUAUCAGCCAGUAGUCAAUCCUCCAGGUGUAUAACCCUGUACGGAGGUGGGUGGCACAGACAAGAUGGGCCAAUCAGGGAGCUGUGCCAGAGACAGCAAUAAUAAAGUCCAGUAGUCAUAAAUGUUAUAGGUUGGCUGAUGAACAACCUUCAGGGGCCUCAUCCCUAAUCAAACCGAUGUAUACAGUCACAGACUUGGACAUUUAUAAUAAUCAGUAGCACUGAGAAUGAGGUACUGGUGGGUAUAAUAUAGAGUGGGGGAUUACCCCUAUGAUGGUAACAAUACAUUAAAGUAAAGAUGUUGGUUCAAUGCUCUUCCAGGGCAGUCCAUGCGCAGAGCCCUGCUGAAGAGUUCUUGCAUGAGAAAAAAGCCCAGCAUUUGCUCAGCACACGCACAUUUUAUGAUACACUUGCACUGUGUUUGACUGUGACUUGUCUCUGGUGUCUACAAAAGUGGGCAACCAGAGGAAAAAAGGUCCAGAAAAGCGUAAGAGUAUUGUGCAUGUGUUUGUGUGUAGAGUGAGCCGAUUGUGGUGUUUUGUGUAAAUAGGUUGGAUGCAGUUGUAUUGUAAAAUGUGUGGCUAGGGGGCAUAGUGUGUUUAAAGAAUGUAGCAAGUGUGUUUGGAUAGGGGCUGUAGUGGGUGGGUGCAUAGUUUGUAAGGGCUGUAGAGAAUGUUUAGGGAAUGUACUGUCUGUGUUUGCAUGCAGGGAAUCUAGUGCGUGUGCCUAGGGGAUCCAGAAUGUCAGUGUGUGUGUAGAGGAUCCAGUGUGCAUAGGGGAUCUCGUGUGUGUCUGAAAUGUAGUGUGGGUGUAUAAGGAAUUUAGUGUGUGUAAAUAGAGUGUUUGUAAGAGAUGUGUCUAUAGAGGAUCUAGUGUGUAGGUGUGCAGUGUAAUUGGAGAGAAUAGUGCACACACUCAACAAAGGGG